GAUCCUAUAGGAUCCUCCCCCACCCAAUUGCAUAGGACCCCUGUAAAUAGCUCUUGUGGGAAUCUCAAGAUCAAAAUGGUGGCUUACCAUCUAACCGGCUUCCCACCUAAUUGCCGGUGUUUUCCUUUGCCUCUCUCUCUCUAAAGUACUCUUUUGAAACUCCCUCUUGCCUUUGCGAAAUCUCUGCCCCUCUUUCCCGCUCUCCUCUGUGAAAGAGAAAUGCCCCAAACCUGCUGCCCCAAGCCCUAGUAGGGUUACAUUCUCUCUCUAAAGUAAUUUUUUACUCAAGGCAAACAAAGGUAGCCCACUCUCUUCUUUGCGGAACUCUCUGCCCCAAGCCCCUAGCAGAGUUACCACAGCUGCAGAUGCCGUUUUAUCUCAUGCUAAAGUGGAAGAUCUUGGUCACUUUAUUUCAGAUUGGGGGCUCGAUCCAUUGCCAAAUUUUUUCAUCACAAGGUUUGGAUGUUAUCUCUCUAACAAUAUUUGGGUUUUUUCAUUUGGCUUCUCUCUCUCUCUCUACCUCUAUCUUCUUUUUUUCAAAUGAAUCAAUACAAGAGAUGAGUUCAUUUGCUUGAUUUAGGUGGGAGAUUUGGGGGAUCGAUUCAUUGCCAUUGGGUUUUUUUUUCAUUUGGUUUUUCCCUUGCUCUCUUUUUCUCUAGGUUAAUCUCUACUUAUCUCUUCCUAAAAGAAAUGCUCUCUCUCUCUACAACAGAUUUUAUUUCAAAAUUGUAGCCAUUUUUCACCUUGAAAGACAAGAAUUUCAAUUUGCAGUUAAGUUUUUCCUAUUUCCUGAUUUUUUUUUUCAAAUUUCAAAGGCAAAAAGAUUUUUGCAGGAGUGUUUGGAGCACGGGCGUGAGCAUUUCCACCCCUCUCUCUCUCUUUCUUUCUCUAACUUUCUCUCUCUAAUAUGAGUCUUUCUCCAUCUCUCUCUUCCCCAUAUGAGCAUUUUUUCCAUUGCCCUCUUUCUCUAACUCUCUCUGUCUCUCUGUUUCUCUCUAUCUCUAUGGAGAGGGCACUGGCAAUUUUGGGUUUACUUCCCCUAUAACACAUUCAGGUGAAACACCCAUCGAACCCCCUGCUGAAGAACCAAAUCGAGAGAAGGAAAGCAAAGUCCUGUAAAUCAACAAAAUGUGGUUAAUUAAGCUGGAUUUUCUGCAUUGAUGUAGUUUUUGGGGUUUGAAUUUUUCCUUGAGCACUGCUGAUUACUUUCUCCAAUCAAUAAGUUUUUCAUUGCAAUAUACUAUUACCGUGAUAAAUUAUUGAAAAUUAUCUCUUUCUGCUGAUUUGCUUUGAAAAUUUAUUGUAAAUUAUGGGGAUUUGCUAAUUUGAAGCAAUUGAUGAGUUGGCAUAUUUAUUCUCUUGAAAAUUUCCUUUAGUAUUGUUAAUUAUUUAAUUGUUCUCUCUCUACGUUAUUCUUGUCAAGGGUUUACUGUUCUUUCACUUUGGUAAAUUAAUGGUAGUGCUGGAUUAUUACUAUUUAUUUUCUUUGGUAGUUUGAUGGAUGCUAUGCAAAUAAUUGGGCUAUUGCUAAAUUGAAGCAAAUGAUGGGCUGUUGAUUAUUUCCUUGAAUUUUUCCAUGAGCCAUGUUGAUUCUUUCCUCUCUCUAUCAGAUUAUUCACACAUGAUGGGUUAAUGCUAUUUCUUUGACUUUUGAAUUUGAGAAACUGAAUCAGUGGUGAGCUAAUUACUAUUUAGCUUAACGCUUUUGCUGCAAAUUUUUGGAUGCAAAUUUUGGGUUUCUUGCCAUUUUAAUUUUGAAUCUAAUGAUGUGCUAUUGCAACUUUGAAGCAAAUUAUGAGCUGUUGCUGUUUAUAGUAUCUAAUCUAGUUUUGUAAUUUGAUCUCAGUAGUGCUAGUUAUGAAAUGAGUUUGACGCAAUUUGUUUUGUUAUAGGGAUCUAGAGGAAGAGUGGUGGGUUAAAUAGUUUGAUACUUUGAUGCUUUCUUUUUUCUUUUAUUUUUUUGGGUUUUUGCUAAUUUGAAGUUGAUGAUGGGCUGCUACUAAUUUGAAUCAAAUUAUGAGCUGUUGCUAUUUAUUCCAUUUACUUUUUCAUAAUUUGAUCUUAUUUAUUGCUAAUUUGCUAGUUUUUUAUAAACUUUUUGAUGUUAAUUGUUUUGUUACAAGGAUUUUUGCCGAUGUGUCAAUUGUUUCAAAUCCUUCGGAUUCGAUCAGUUGAUCAUUUCUUUUGACAUAUGGCAACCGCUACUUGAUUUUCUGUAGCCAAAGAGACUACAAAUUAUGUCCAUUUAUCUGUGUUUAAGCACGAGAAGUUACAAUGUCAUAGUGAGAUGAUUGCUCUUGUAUGUGCACCCCACAAGUAAGUUACCAAACAUAAGAAAAUGAUGACAUGAGAAAAAACAAGCUUGAGAUCACAUUCCCUGUAAGUUGUUUUCAUGGUUAUUCAGUUUCAUAUUAGCAUUUUGUUUCACAUUAGCAAAUUAUUUUUCGCAACUCAAAUAAUGUCUUUUGAAGUAUGUAUGUUUUUAUGGUUGAGUUGAUGGAGUUUUCCAAUUGGUGAUGAUAUUUUAAUUCUUUAAAUGCAGUUUGAUGCAACCACAAAAUUGAGUUCCCACCUUUUUGGAUGGAUCCCUUAUUUCUGUUGAUUUGCUUUGAAAAUUUAUUGUAAAUUAUGGGGUUUUGCUAAUUUGAAGCAAUUGAUGAGUUGGGAUAUUUAUUCUUUUGAAAUUUUCCUUGAGUAUUGUUAAACAUGCUAAUGCUUCUUUUCUGUCUAUCCUCUCAUUAGCAAUGCUUUUUACUUUAAAACAUGAUGGAACAUAUAACUCUUUUUGUUUUUGCUCUCAAAUUAGACUGUAAUUGUAUCCUUUAAUAUUUCUAUAUUCUCAAUUUUAGCUCUCUUUUUCAUCUAAUGACAUGUAUUAAAUCACUUUCAUUGAGCCCUUGUCGUCCAUACCCGUUGAUAUUGAUUUUUUAUCCUGUUCUAUAUUGAGCCUGUUAUUAUUGUGGUGGAAUAGAAUAUGACACAUGAUAAGUCAUUUUUGUCAUUCUCAUUCCAUGCUGCUGAGCCAGAAAGAGAUACCAAAAAGUGAUGGGGUUUCCUCCUUACCAUGGAGGCAACCAUUGAGGAUCAUUCCUUAUGGUAUGGUGCCAAUGCGGAAGAAAUCGAUAGUUCUAUCAAGGUGAAAUAUCUAGCAUGCGCAUGCGCAAUUUAGCAUGCGCAUGGGAAAUACAAAAAAAAUUGGCACCUGUAAAAAGUGUACAUGAACUAGUGGAAUCACAUGCAAAAGGGAGCAGUAAUGAUGGUUUUUUGUGCUAUAAACACUUGCAGUGAGGAAGAUGAAAAUGGAAGAUUGGGAAGCUAUCCAAAUGAAGGAAAUAUUGCUUGUGAACCAUUUGUGGGUAUAGAAUUUUCACUUGAGGAAGAAGUAAAAUUAUUCUAUAAUGAAUAUGCGAGGCAAAUGUGAUUUAGCAUGCGCAUGGGAAAUACAAAAAAAUCACAUGAAGGGGUCGUGCGUGCUCGUAAAUUUCUAUGUUCAAGAGAAGGAUUUUGUUCAAAGAAAGUUGAUAGUGGAAAACCUACUCAGAAGUUCCAACACACAAGAGUUGAUUGCAAAGCAAUGAUGAAAAUAUGGAAGAAAGGUAUUAACAAGUGGGUUGUUACACGAUUUGACAAGAACCACAAUCAUGUAUUUGUGAGCUCAAGUAAGGUGCAUCGUCUCCGAUCGCAUCAGGCUGUUUCUGAAUGUAAGAGAAGUAUUAUUGAUACUUUUCAUAAAGUCGGGAUUCCUACUAAUAAGAUUAUGAAUGUCUUUAGAGUAGUGUCUGGUGGAGACUUUAAUUUAGGCCUAAUGGAUCGUGAUUGUAGAAAUGAGCUUAGAAAGCUUAAAAAGAAAAUCCUUGACAAUAAUGCUCAAUUGCUCUUAAAUUAUUUAAAGCGCAUGCAAAGUGAAAAUCCUUCAUUCGUUUAUGAAAUUGAUGUAACUGAUGAUGGCCAUUUAGCAAAUAUUUUUUGGAUUGAUGCUAGGUCAAGGAAUGCAUAUCUAUGUUUUGAGGAUGAGGUGAUUUUUUAUACAACCUAUAAGACAAAUAGGUUUAAAAUGCCUUUUACCCCAUUUACAGGAGUCAACCACCAUACAAGUUCUACUUUAUUUGGUUGUGCACUUUUGGGAGAUGAAACCGAAUCGUCAUUUAUUUGUCUAUUUGAGAGAUGGCUUUUAGCAAUGAAUGGUAAACAUCCAAUUAUAAUAAUCAUCGACCAAGACAAGGCCAUGCAAGGAGCUAUUGCUCAUGUAUUCAUUCCCAAACAGUGUCCACUGUUUUGCAAAUGGUACAUCUUAAAAAAGGUCAACGAGAAGUUAGGUAGCAUUUGCGCAAAACAUCCUACUUUUGUUAGGGAGUUCCUUAAUUGUAUUAAUUGGACCGAUACAAUUGAAGAGUUCGAGAGUUCAUGGAGAUCAAUUUUUGAUAAGUAUGAGCUAAAGAAAAAUAACUGGUUAGCAUCGUUAUAUGAUAUUCGACAAAAAUGGAUACCAGUCUAUUUGCGUGGUACAUUCUUUACAAAUUGCUCUACUAUCCAGCGAAGUGGAAGUAUGAACCAUUUUUUUCACGGGUUUCUUAACUCUCAAACUACCUUGCAAGAAUUUGUUCUUAAAUAUGAAGAGGCCCUCGAUCACCGGUACAAUGAUGAAUCCUAUUUAGAUUAAGUCACCUCUUACUCUACACCAACUUUGAACACAAGACUACCUAUGGAGAAACAAGCAGCAGAUGCUUAUACCAGGACAGUGUUCCUUAAGUUUCAAAAGGAACUGGAUGAAGUGAUAUCAAUUGUGGCAAAGAAAAUUGAGGAUGGCUUCAUCAACACAUACAAGUUGACAACAUAUCAAAAAAAUAACAAAGAAUAUAUAGUUGUAUUUGAUGCCUCUAAAACACAAGCAACUUGUCGCUGCAAAAUGUUUUGAGUUUUCCGGGUUUCUUUGUAAACAUAUAUUAGCAGUUUUCCAUUGUGAGCAUGUUCAAGAAAUUCCAUCCUAAUAUAUUUUGAAGCGAUGGACAAGGAAUGCCAAGAAAUGGACUAUAGUAAAUGAGCACAGAAAAGGAGCGAUGGGAAAUUCCAUGGAUUCUCUAUUCUCACGAUUCAACUAUUUAAGUCACGAAGCAAUUAACCUUGCAGGGAUUGGGGCGAAAUCUGCACGUGUUUUUGAUGUGGUGUUGUUAGGAUUUCAAGAAUCGAGGAAAAGAGCUAUUCAUGAGGAAAGUAUUGAAAAUGCAUCACAAGUUUGCCUUAUGGGCAAUGCAAGUAACUUGGGAAUAACUAUGACAACAAGUGAAAUAAAUCAAGAUUGUUUAGCAAGUAAUGUUAUACUGCAAAAUCCAUUACUGACAACAACAAAGGGCCGCCCUUCGACCACAAGAAUCAAAUCACCAGUAGAGAAGUCGCCGCGGAAGCUUGUUACAUGUCGUAUGUGCAACAAAGUGGGACAUAAUUCGCGUACUUAUUCAUUGUCAACAGAUUUCAAUGAUAGAUGUCAUGCGCACAGAUAAAUCCUCGAAUGCUAUGAUUCAAGAUUAUAGUGGUGCCUUUUAGUUUGAUGCAACCAUAACAUUUUGUUACCACCUUUGUGGAUGAGUCCCACUUUUGUUAUGGAAGUAGUCAUUGGUAUAGCCAACUCAGCAUCCAAUCCUCUCGCUAAAGAGGGAGCAACACAAAGCAACAAAUACGGUAUAUUUUUUAGCACAUGGUCCCUCAAUUUUUUGUAUAUUAAUUUCUUGUUUAUAUUUUUGAUGUAAAGCUUUUUUUGAGCCCCUUUACGGGUUUUUGUAUAGAACCACUAAGCUUAGAAAUCCAAAGGAUGAAUGGAGUAUUUUUUGAGCCCCUUUACGAGUUAUGGGUCAGUAGAGUAUUUGGUUAAUGCUGAGAAUGGUGAAGAAGAAGGGGACUUUAUGAAUGUACUUGUGCACAAAUCUUUUCUUGUUUAUUGAAAGUCGACAGAUGUGAAAAUGUGACUUUUAUCAGCAAUGCAACAAUGUAUUAUA